rnacentral:rRNA from 1 species
AUUGAACGCUGGCGGCAUGCCUUACACAUGCAAGUCGAACGGUAACAGGUCUUCGGAUGCUGACGAGUGGCGAACGGGUGAUUAAUACAUCGGAACGUGCCUAGUAGUGGGGGAUAACUACUCGAAAGAGUGGCUAAUACCGCAUGAGAUCUACGGAUGAAAGCAGGGGAUCGCAAGACCUUGUGCUACUAGAGCGGCCGAUGGCAGAUUAGGUAGUUGGUGGGAUAAAAGCUUACCAAGCCGACGAUCUGUAGCUGGUUUGAGAGGACGAUCAGCCACACUGGGACUGAGACACGGCCCAGACUCCUACGGGAGGCAGCAGUGGGGAAUUUUGGACAAUGGGCGAAAGCCUGAUCCAGCAAUGCCGCGUGCAGGAUGAAGGCCUUCGGGUUGUAAACUGCUUUUGUACGGAACGAAAAGCCCUGGGUUAAUACCCUGGGGUCAUGACGGUACCGUAAGAGUAAGCACCGGCUAACUUCGUGCCAGCAGCCGCAGUAA